rnacentral:rRNA from 1 species
UACGUAGGGGGCAAGCGUUGUCCGGAUUUAUUGGGCGUAAAGCGCUCGCAGGCGGUCCCGUGCGUCGUGCGUGAAAGGCCCCGGCUCAACCGGGGGCGGUCGUGCGAUACGGCGGGGCUGGAGGCCAGUAGGGGGGCGCGGAAUUCCGGGUGUAGUGGUGGAAUGCGUAGAGAUCCGGAGGAACACCAGCGGCGAAGGCGGCGUCCUGGACUGGACCUGACGCUCAGGAGCGAAAGCGUGGGGAGCGAUCCGG